rnacentral:rRNA from 1 species
CGGCGAGUGAAGCGGCAAAAGCUCAAAUUUGAAAUCUGGUACCUUUGGUGCCCGAGUUGUAAUUUGGAGAGGGCAACUUUGGGACCGUUCCUUGUCUAUGUUCCUUGGAACAGGACGUCAUAGAGGGUGAGAAUCCCGUGUGGCGAGGAGUGCGGUUCUAUGUAAAGUGCCUUCGAAGAGUCGAGUUGUUUGGGAAUGCAGCUCUAAGUGGGUGGUAAAUUCCAUCUAAAGCUAAAUAUUGGCGAGAGACCGAUAGCGAACAAGUACAGUGAUGGAAAGAUGAAAAGAACUUUGAAAAGAGAGUGAAAAAGUACGUGAAAUUGUUGAAAGGGAAGGGCAUUUGAUCAGACAUGGUGUUUUGCGCCCUCUGCUCCUUGUGGGUGGGGGAAUCUCGCAGUUCACUGGGCCAGCAUCAGUUUUGGUGGCAGGAUAAAUCCGUAGGAAUGUAACUUGCUUCGGGAAGUAUUAUAGCCUAUGGGAAUACUGCCAGCUGGGACUGA